CCUACGGGAGGCAGCAGUGAGGAAUAUUGGUCAAUGGGCGCGAGCCUGACCCAGCCACGUAGCGUGAAGGAUGACUGCCCUCCGGGUUGUAACCUUCUUUUUUAAAGGCAUAAAGUAUGACACUUCUGCCUGUUUGUGUGUCCUUUAUCAAUGUGCCUCGGCUAACUCCGUGCCAGCAGCCGCGGUAAUAAGGAGGAUGCGAGCGUUAUCCGGAUUUAGUGGGUGUAAAGGGAGUGUAGAUGGGAGGUUAAGUCAGUUGUGAAAGUUUGCGGCUCAACCGUGAAAUUGCAAUUGAUACUGGCAGCCUUGAGUGCAGUUGAGGUAGGCGGAAUUCGGGGUGUAGCGGUGAAAUGCGUAGAUAUCACGAAGAACACCGGUGGCGAAGGCAGCCUGCUAAAC
rnacentral:rRNA from 1 species